UACAGGGGGGGGCAAGCGUUGUUCGGAAUUACUGGGCGUAAAGGGCCAGUAGGCGGCCAACUAAGUCACACGUGAAAUCCCCAGGCUUAACCUGGGAACUGCGUGUGAUACUGGAUGGCUUGAAUUCGGGAGAGGGAUGCAGAAUUCCAGGUGUAGCGGUGAAAUGCGUAGAUAUCUGGAGGAAUACCGGUGGCGAAGGCGGCAUCCUGGACCGACAUUGACGCUGAACGGCGAAAACUAGGGGAGCAAACGGG
rnacentral:rRNA from 1 species